rnacentral:rRNA from 1 species
UACGUAGGGUGCGAGCGUUGUCCGGAAUUAUUGGGCGUAAAGAGCUCGUAGGCGGUUUGUCGCGUCUGCUGUGAAAACUCGGGGCUCAACUCCGGGUCUGCAGUGGGUACGGGCAGACUAGAGUGCGGUAGGGGAGACUGGAAUUCCUGGUGUAGCGGUGAAAUGCGCAGAUAUCAGGAGGAACACCGGUGGCGAAGGCGGGUCUCUGGGCCGUAACUGACGCUGAGGAGCGAAAGCGUGGGGAGCGAACAGG